AUGGACCAAGAUGAUUACGGAUAUGGGGGGAGAACAGAUGACACAUUCUUUAUGGCCUGGCUUGCGGUUGCCUUCAGCACUUUCUUAGCACCAACCACGGCCUUUAAGCUCAGCCCAAAGUGCUAUGGACUCGUGCUAGAUCAUGAAAACCUCAAGAACACAAACAUCUGCCUUUUUGUAGCAGAACACAUUAACGAAGCUUUCCGGAACAUGGACCAAGAUAAGCAAACUGUCUGCUGCUGCUUGUAUCACUUGAUGAUACUAUACCUUGAUGCGCUUGUCCAUGACAUCCCAGUAAGCAACUGCACGAUACGAUCGAAUGCAUGGGAUAGUACUCUAAUUGCCAAGGUGAUCAAGAAGGAUACCAUCUUUAAAGAGGAGUAUAGAGGCAUGGAGCAUACACCACUGUUUGGUGGAAUUUUGCAAGCUGAAGCAUUCGUGGCAUCCAAGUUACCAAUAACCUACAAUCCGCAGAAAAAGGCAAAGAUUGCGAAAGUGGUCAAUGACCUGUGCAAGGCUGAGGAGGAGGAGGAGGAGGAGGAGGAGGGCAAACAAGAAGAGGACAAAGGAGAGGAGGAGGAGGAGGAAGAAGAUAGUGAGGCAAAGGAGGAGGAAGAAGAAGGUGAGGCCGAAGAGGGGGACGGGGACAAAGGUGCAGCAGUUGAUGGCAGUGAGAGGGGAGAAGACAAAGGCGCAUCAGUUGAUGGCAGUGAGAGGGGAGAAGACAAAGGCGCAUCAGUUGAUGGCAGUGAGAGGGAAGAAGAAGACGAGAACGGUUAUGGUGAUGAUGUUGGGGGAUCCAAUGGAGGCAGUGACAGCAGCGAUGAUGAUGAUGAUGAUGAUGACAAUGCCCCUGGUUCUGGUGGUACAGGCGGCAACACAUCCAGGAGGACUAGCACUUCCGCCACUCCUGCCAGCAGCAGCAAUUCAUUGAGUAGCAGGAGCACACUACAGAUGUUAAUCGACAAAACUUGCUGGAAAGACAAGGAUUUUCCAAAGUCAAAGAAAAUGACGAAGCAGAGUCUCAGGGCAGCAUUGAUAUGUUCAAGCUCUGCAACUUGA
rnacentral:rRNA from 1 species